rnacentral:rRNA from 1 species
UACGAAGGGGGCUAGCGUUGUUCGGAAUCACUGGGCGUAAAGCGCGUGUAGGCGGUUGUUCAAGUCAGGUGUGAAAGCCUUGAGCUCAACUCAAGAAAUGCACUUGAUACUGCGGUGCUUGAGGACUGGAGAGGAGACUGGAAUUUACGGUGUAGCAGUGAAAUGCGUAGAGAUCGUAAGGAAGACCAGUGGCGAAGGCGGGUCUCUGGACAGUUCCUGACACUGAGGCACGAAGGCCAGGGGAGCAAACGGG